AUUUUAAAAAUAAACCUAUUGCCGAGGGAUACGAAGCAAUCGUUUGAAGUGUUAACGCAGAAGGAAAUGUAUUAAGUCCUCGCGCUGGAAAUCCUUUAGUAAUCAACGAACGAUUAACGCUUCACAGCAAUGCCUCAAGAUUCAUGGACCGAAGUAUAUGUGUAAAUAAAAAAUUGUGAAGACCCAAACAACGAGACUUUAACAGAUGCUCGCGUAUAUUUGAAUAGCGGUACUCAGAUGUAAAGGGCUAAAAAAUUUUCUCCAGAACUUCAAAUAACUAGAAUGUUUACUGUUUCAAUGACCAGAUAAUUUUAUUUAAAAAAUACUACAUAAUAUUAUUAUUCCUGAAACCAAAUGAUAGUUGAUAAAAUAUACAGAUCUAUUAAAUUUUUAAUUUACUAGAGUGAUGUAACAAAUUAUAUUUACUGCAUAUUUACAAGAUUACUAUUUAUUAUAAUUGAGUGCAUAUUGUUGUUCUAUUUUUUUGCAGCAAAAUUUCUAUUAAUUUAAAUUGUUAUCAAAAGGAAAUUUGCAAUAUUAACUCACUUUUGUUUACAUGGGUGGCACUUAGGGAUAAGAAAAUUUUGAUGUGCCCCAUUAUUUAGAGAUAUAUUCGAAUAUAUAAAGGACGAUUGAUUGCAACAAUUAACGUCAGAUUAUUGCCUGAAAGUCGAAUUUUAAAGAUGCCAGGUCCACAUCAUCCACCAGGCCCCCCUCACGAUGAGCAUAGUCCAGGAGUCCCUGGAGGUCCGAGAGAACACAAAGGUCCAGGCGGACAUGAAGGUUCAGGAGUACACAGUGGUCCGAGAGAACAUGGUGGUUCAGGACAUGGGGGUCCAGGUGAGCAUGGUCCAGGUGGUCAUCCUCCACAUGAAGGACCGUCAC